UACGGGGGGGGUAAGCGUUGUUCGGAAUUACUGGGCGUAAAGGGCUCGUAGGCGGCCAACUAAGUCAGAUGUGAAAUCCCCAGGCUCAACCUGGGAACUGCAUCUGAUACUGGAUGGCUUGAAUUCGGGAGAGGGAUGCAGAAUUCCAGGUGUAGCGGUGAAAUGCGUAGAUAUCUGGAGGAAUACCGGUGGCGAAGGCGGCAUCCUGGACCGACAUUGACGCUGAGGAGCGAAAGCUAGGGGAGCAAACGGG
rnacentral:rRNA from 1 species